rnacentral:tRNA from 1 species
GAACCCGUGGCUCAAUGGUAGAGCGUUCGACUCAAAUUCCAAAAAUCGCGGGUUCGAAACCCAGGUGUA